UAUCGGCUCGAUAUAUUUGGUGGCGGGUUCGGAUACAUGUUGAUUGAAUUUAAUUCCCUUGGCUGAAAUCCAUGAAGGCACGGGAUCUACAGAGCAACUAUAUUAGUGCAGUGAGGACAAGACAUCUCAGAACCAACAUACAGCUGACAGCAGCCCUUCAAGAAGUACUUUAAGACUCUGUUAUGGGAUUCACCAUUACCACAGCUUCAGAUUUGAGUCAUCGGAACGUGGCAUUUUUAAGACUGGAACAUGAAGAAAGCAAACAAUGCAGAGGAAGAAAAUUAUCCCCUUUGGUGAACCCUGCUGACAUAGUCUCUCAGAUACUCCCAGAUAAGCUAUCAACUGGAUUUUCCAAAUAGAGGGAAUAUGAUAUAUGGAAAGAUCUUAGAUGAGGACAAGGCACCUCGCGGCC